rnacentral:rRNA from 1 species
AGCUUCAGUAGCGUAUAUUAAAGUUGUUGCAGUUAAAAAGCUCGUAGUCGCAUUUCUGGCGAGAGGAUCCGGUCCGACCUUUUGGUGGGUUCUUGGGUCUCUGUCGCCAUCCUUGAGUGGUCCGUUCUGGCAUUAGGUUGUCGGAGCGUCAGCCGCUCAUCGUUUACUGUGAGAAAAUUAGAGUGUUCAAAGCAGGCUUAUGCCUUUGAAUAUAUUAGCAUGGAAUAAUAAGAUAGGACCUCGGUACUAUUUUGUUGGUUUGCGCACCAAGGUAAUGAUGAACAGGGACAGUUGGGGGUAUUUGUAUUUCGUUGUCAGAGGUGAAAUUCUUAGAUUUACGAAAGACAAACUACUGCGAAAGCAUUUACCAAGGAUGUUUUCA